GAUGAACGCUGGCGGCGUGCCUAAUACAUGCAAGUCGAGCGAACGGACGAGAAGCUUGCUUCUCUGAUGUUAGCGGCGGACGGGUGAGUAACACGUGGAUAACCUACCUAUAAGACUGGGAUAACUUCGGGAAACCGGAGCUAAUACCGGAUAAUAUUUUGAACCGCAUGGUUCAAAAGUGAAAGACGGUCUUGCUGUCACUUAUAGAUGGAUCCGCUCUGCAUUAGCUAGUUGGUAAGGUAACGGCUUACCAAGGCAACGAUGCAUAGCCGACCUGAGAGGGUGAUCGGCCAAACUGGAACUGAGACACGGUCCAGACUCCUACGGGAGGCAGCAGUAGGGAAUCUUCCGCAAUGGGCGAAAGCCUGACGGAGCAAAGCCGCGUGAGUGAUGAAGGUCUUCGGAUCGUAAAACUCUGUUAUUAGGGAAGAACAUAUGUGUAAGUAACUGUGCACAUCUUGACGGUACCUAAUCAGAAAGCCACGGCUAACUACGUG
rnacentral:rRNA from 1 species